CUCAGGACGAAGAGUGGCGGCGUGCCUAAUACAUGCAACUUGAGAGUACAGAAGGGAGCCUGGCUCCCGGAUGUUUGCGGGGGACGGGUGAGUAACACGUGGGUAACCUGCCUGUAAGACUGGGAUAACUCCGGGGAAACCGGGGCUAAUACCGGAUAGUUCCUUGAACCCCAUGGUUCAAGGAUGAAAGGACGGUUUCGGCCUGUCACUUACAGAUGGACCCGCGGCGCAUUAGCUAGUUGGUGAGGUAACGGCUCACCAAGGCGACGAUGCGUAGCCGACCUGAGAGGGUGAUCGGCCACACUGGGACUGAGACACGGCCCAGACUCCUACGGGAGGCAGCAGUAGGGAAUCUUCCGCAAUGGACGAAAGUCUGAUGGAGCAACGCCGCGUGAGUGAUGAAGGUUUUCGGAUCGUAAAGCUCUGUUGUUAGGGAAGAACAAGUGCAAGAGUAACUGCUUGCACCUUGACGGUACCUAACCAGAAAGCCCCGGCUAACUACGUGCCAGCAGCCGCGGUAAUACGUAGGUGGCAAGCGUUGUCUCGGAAUUAUUGGGCGUAAAGGGCUCGCAGGCGGUUUCUUAAGUCUUUUAAAGCCCCCGGCUCAACCUGGGAGGGUCAUUGGAAACUGGGAAACUUGAUUGCGGAAGAGGAUAGUGGAAUUCCACGGUGGUAGCGGUGAAAUGCGUAGAGAUGUGGAGGAACACUCACAUGGCGAAGGCGACUCUCUGGUCUGUAACUGACGCUGAGGAGCGAAAGCGUGGGGAGCAAACAGGAUUAGAUACCCUGGUAGUCCACGCCCUAAACGAUGAGUGCUGAAUGUUGGGGGGUUUCCGCCCCUUAGUGCUGCAGCUAACGCAUUAAGUACUCCGCCUGGGGAGUACGGUCGCAAGACUGAAACUCAAAGGAAUUGACGGGGGCCCGCACAAGCGGUGGAGCAUGUGGUUUAAUUCGAAGCAACGCGAAGAACCUUACCUGGUCUUGACAUCGCUCUAGACACAUCCCCCAGAGAUAGGAGCUGUGUCGCCCUUGGGGACACAAUGCACAGGUGGUGCAUGGUUGUCGUCAGCUCGUGUCGUGAGAUGUUGGGUUAAGUCCCGCAACGAGCGCAACCCUUGAUCUUAGUUGCCAGCAUUCAAUGGGGCACUCUAAGGUGACUGCCGGUGACACACCGGAGGAAGGGGGGGAUGAGACCAAAUCAUCUUGCCCCUUAUGACCUGGGGUACACACAUGCUCCAAUGUGCAAAACAAAGGGGUGCGAAACCCCAAGGUUUAGCCAAUCCCCCAAAUCUGUUCUCUCUUCCGAGAUUGGAGUCCACCUCUCCUCCCCGAAGAUGGAAACUCUCUUAAUCUCGGAUAUCCACGCCGCGGCGAAUAAUUUCCUCGGGGUUGUAGACCCCGCCCCCCACACCACCAGAGUUUGUUACUCCCCCAGACGGUGGGGUAUCCUCUUAUGGAGACGGCCCCCGACAGUGGGGCACAUAAUUGGGGGGAAAACUCAACAAGGGGGCCCUAUCUCAAGGGGCGGGUGGGAGCAC
rnacentral:rRNA from 1 species